CGGCGAUCGAUUUGAAGUUUUUGAACUGCUGAAGGAUGGGCCGCAAAGCCGGUACCUUAUUCAUAAACCCAAAGAACUUCGGAAGUCUCCAAAAACCUUGCGUGAAGGAUAUGGUCACAUUUCUUAAUUGUUUGACUCUAAAUCAUAACAAGGACGAUAAAUGCAGCAGGCAAAAAUCACUUUUAAGUGCAUGCAUGGAGGCUCAGGGCAAAAACAGAAAACCUUGGGGUAGCAUUAAUUAUCACCUCCAGAGGCUUAACAGGGGAAGAAGGUAGUAUGUAUCAAAUUGCUUGUGCAUAAGCUAACAGUGUUGUGCAUUGGUGUGUCAUUUAGCAGGCAUUUGAACUUAAUAAAAAGCCUUACCAUGUCAUAGCUUUAAAGAGCUGGCUAUGACUAUGUUCCAAAACUUCUCCUUCUUUCUGGGGAAGUUUCAGUGAGUUGCUUCUGAUGAACCAUCAAAUAGUGUUUGCAGG
rnacentral:misc_RNA from 1 species